GGUUCCUUAAGUCUGAUGUGAAAUCCCACGGCUCAACCGUGGAGGGUCAUUGGAAACUGGGGGAACUUGAGUGCAGAAGAGGAAAGUGGAAUUCCAAGUGUACGGUGAAAUGCGUAGGGGAUUUGGRGGAACCCCUGUUGGCUGAWGGUGACUUUCUGGUCUGUAACUGACACUGAGGCGCGAAAGCGUGGGGAGCAAACAGGAUUAUAUACCCUGGUAUUCCCUCCCGUAAACGAUGAGUGCUAAGUGUUAGAGGGUUUCCGCCCUUUAGUGCUGCUGUUAACGCCAUUAAGCACUCCCCCUGGGGAGUAGGGCCGCAAGGUUGAAAUUCAAAGGAAUUGAUCGGGGGCCCGCCCAAGCGGUGGGAGCAUGUGGGUUUAAUUCGAAUGCAACGGGAAGAACCCUUACCAGGUUUUGACUUCCUUCGACAACCCUAAGAAUAGGGGGUUCCCCUUUGGGGGACAGAGUGACAGGUGGUGCAUGGUUGUCGUCAGCUCGUGUCGUGAGAUGUUGGGUUAAGUCCCGCAACGAGCGCAACCCUUGAUCUUAGUUGCCAGCAUUUGGUUGGGCACUCUAAGGUGACUGCCGGUGACAAACCGGAGGAAGGUGGGGAUGACGUCAAAUCAUCAUGCCCCUUAUGACCUGGGCUACACACGUGCUACAAUGGAUGGUACAAAGGGCUGCAAACCUGCGAAGGUAAGCGAAUCCCAUAAAGCCAUUCUCAGUUCGGAUUGCAGGCUGCAACUCGCCUGCAUGAAGCCGGAAUCGCUAGUAAUCGCGGAUCAG
rnacentral:rRNA from 1 species